rnacentral:rRNA from 1 species
GAUGAACGCUGACAGAAUGCUUAACACAUGCAAGUCUACUUGAAUUUGGGUUUUUUAACUUCGAUUUGGGUGGCGGACGGGUGAGUAACGCGUAAAGAACUUGCCUCACAGCUAGGGACAACAUUUGGAAACGAAUGCUAAUACCUGAUAUUAUGAUUAUAAGGCAUCUUAGAAUUAUGAAAGCUAUAUGCGCUGUGAGAGAGCUUUGCGUCCCAUUAGCUAGUUGGAGAGGUAACGGCUCACCAAGGCGAUGAUGGGUAGCCGGCCUGAGAGGGUGAACGGCCACAAGGGGAAUGAGACACGGCCCUUACUCCUACGGGAGGCAGCAGUGGGGAAUAUUGGACAAUGGACCAAGAGUCUGAUCCAGCAAUUCUGUGUGCACGAUGACGUUUUUCGGAAUGUAAAGUGCUUUCAGUUGGGAAGAAAAAAAUGACGGUACCAACAGAAGAAGGGAGGGCUAAAUACGUG